UCCGGAACUCCUCGUGACGUCCUGGAUCUCAUCCGGGACUCCGAACAACAUUCAGUAACCACGUAUACUAUUCCCAUAAUAACCCUAGCGUCAUCGAACCUUAAGUGUGUAGACCCUACGGGUUCGGGAACCAUGCAGACAUGACCGAGACACCUCUCCGGUCAAUAACCAACAGCGGGGUCUGGAUAUCCAUGUUGAUUACCACAUGUUCCACGAUGAUCUCAUCGGAUGAACCACGAU
rnacentral:lncRNA from 1 species